AAGGCUUGACAUGGGGAAGACUGGACGAGAGAUCGUCCUUCUCUAGCAAUAGAGCUUCCCACACAGGUGCUGCAUGGCUGUCGUCAGCUCGUGUCGUGAGAUGUUGGGUUAAGUCCCGCAACGAGCGCAACCCCCGUUUCUAGUUGCCAUCAUUCAGUUGGGCCCUCUAGAGAGACUGCCGCGAAUAACGCGGAGGAAGGUGGGGACGACGUCAAGUCAUCAUGG
rnacentral:rRNA from 1 species